GGAUCAAUUUAUUGGUCGUGCUAUUGUACGUACUGGUAUUAUUGAUUCCUACCUUCUGACGAACCAUGGUGUCAUUAAUUUGGUGUCUUGGGGAAUCAGGACUGUUACUUUGAAAAAUUAGAGUGUUUAAAGCAGGCUCACGCUUGAAUACAUUAGCAUGGAAUAACGAAAUAGGACGUUUGAUUCUAUUUUGUUGGUUUCUAGGAUCGACGUAAUGAUUAAUAGGGAUAGU
rnacentral:rRNA from 1 species